rnacentral:rRNA from 1 species
AUUGAACGCUGGCGGCAUGUUUUACACAUGCAAGUCGAACGGUAGGGUAGCAAUACCUGAGAGUGGCGAACGGGUGAGUAAUGCAUCGGAACGUGCCCAAGAGUGGGGGAUAGCCCGGCGAAAGCCGGAUUAAUACCGCAUACGAUCUAUGGAUGAAAGUGGGGGACCGCAAGGCCUCACGCUCCUGGAGCGGCCGAUGUCAGAUUAGGUAGUUGGUGGGGUAAAGGCUCACCAAGCCAACGAUCUGUAGCUGGUUUGAGAGAACGACCAGCCAGACUGGGACUGAGACACGGCCCAGACUCCUACGGGAGGCAGCAGUGGGGAAUUUUGGACAAUGGGCGCAAGCCUGAUCCAGCAAUGCCGCGUGCAGGAUGAAGGCCUUCGGGUUGUAAACUGCUUUUGUACGGAGCGAAAAGGCUUCUUCUAAUACAGGAGGCUCAUGACGGUACCGUAAGAAUAAGCACCGGCUAACUACGUGCCAGCCGCCGCCGUAACAC